rnacentral:rRNA from 1 species
CCUANGGGGGGCAGCAGUGGGGAAUCUUGCGCAAUGGGCGAAAGCCUGACGCAGCAACGCCGCGUGCGGGAUGAAGGCCUUCGGGUUGUAAACCGCUUUCAGUGGGGACGAACCAAGACGGUACCCACAGAAGAAGCCCCGGCCAACUACGUGCCAGCAGCCGCGGUAACACGUAGGGGGCAAGCGUUGUCCGGAUUCAUUGGGCGUAAAGAGCUCGUAGGCGGUUCGAUAAGUCGGGUGUGAAACCUCCAGGCUCAACCUGGAGACGCCACCCGAUACUGUUGUGACUAGAGUCCAGUAGGGGAGCGUGGAAUUCCUGGUGUAGCGGUGAAAUGCGCAGAUAUCAGGAGGAACACCAGCGGCGAAGGCGGCGCUCUGGGCUGGAACUGACGCUGAGGAGCGAAAGCGUGGGGAGCGAACAGGAUUAGAUACCCUUNUANUC